CUGAACUUUGGUGCACGCAUUGAAAGGGGAAGUAGUUUAUGUGUUUCAGUUGUCCCACAUCGAAAGAGUGAUAAGCCUUGUGGAAGCGAGGCGCUAUAAAUACUCGUUUUGCGAAUGGGUGGUGACGCUUGCCGCGCCGGCUCUAUAUUGUGCGCAAAAAAUUGUAGAGGGGAAAUAGGCUGGCCGAGGGUAGACGCUGCUCACUUUGCAGAAAUCGUUUGUCUGGGACUCCCUAUUUGACCCACCCCAGAAAUCUAGCCCAAGUUUAUUUUAUUUGAACUAUUGGUACAUGGCAGGAGAUCAAGACUUCUAAAACAUUUGCUAUCCUUGUUACCGGAUUACGAGCAAAAGAAAACAAAAAAGGAUUUAUAGGACAAACUUCAAUUCAACCAAAGAAGCAAGGAGAAGCCUUAUUUUAACGGUGAAGCGUUUUUUCAGGUAUGGAUUAGGCAAAGCAGCUAUCAGAUAAAUAGUUUCUUCAAAUAAGUCAUAUAAGAAUAUCUUUUUUAUAUAAAAAACACAGUUGCAUUUUUUUUUGUUGUAUUCCUUGGCGAAAGUGGUCCUUCCACCUAUAACUAGCUUCGAAUCGACUAGGAAUGAAAAGCAUUAAUGCUAGUAGAAGAAGUGGACGGCCUUGUCUGCAACUGUGGAAUCAAAGGUCAAUACUCUCCACAAAUGUUUUUCUUUUUUUAAUCUGUGAUCAUCGUACGAUGUGGAUUGAUGAUGCUGCCCUUUUCUCCUUUGAGACAUCAGCAAAUGGGGGUGUUUUACUUUUGUGUUCAAAAAUUUCAUCCAUCGAUUUAGAUUGUGGCUGUAAAGUGUAACCCCCGGCAGUAAAGAUUAGGGGGUCCCAAAUAUAUGAGAAGAAUAUACCGACGUCUAUUGCAAACCAA